rnacentral:rRNA from 1 species
UAACGAGUAACUGAACGGGUUGUAGCUGGCCUCUCGGGGCAUGUGCACACCUGGCUCAUCCACUCUUCAACCUCUGUGCACUUGUUGUAGGUCGGCAGAAGGGCGAGUCUAACAGCUCGCUUGGAAGCCUUCCUAUGUUUUACUACAAACGCUUCAGUUUAAGAAUGUAACCUUGCGUAUAACGCAUCUUUAUACAACUUUCAGCAACGGAUCUCUUGGCUCUCGCAUCGAUGAAGAACGCAGCGAAAUGCGAUAAGUAAUGUGAAUUGCAGAAUUCAGUGAAUCAUCGAAUCUUUGAACGCACCUUGCGCUCCCUGGUAUUCCGGGGAGCAUGCCUGUUUGAGUGUCAUGGUAUUCUCAUCCUUCAUAACUUUUGUUAUCGAAGGCAUGGACUUGGAGGUCGUGCUGGUUCCUCGUUGAAUCGGCUCCUCUUAAAUGUAUUAGCGUGAGUGUAACGGAUCGCUUCGGUGUGAUAAUUAUCUGCGCCGUGGUCGUGAAGUAACAUAAGCUUGCGCUUCUAACCGUCCUUAAGUUGGACAACUUACUUUGACAUCUGACCUCAAAUCAGGUAGGACUACCCGCUGAACUUAAGCAUAUCAAUAAGCGGAGGAAAAGAAACUAACAAGGAUUCUCCCUAGUAACUGCGAGUGAACCGGGAAAAGCUCAAAUUUAAAAUCUGGGCAGCCUUGGCUGUCCGAGUUGUAAUCUGGGAGAAGCGUCUUCCGCGCUGGACCGUGUACAAGUCUCCUGGGAACGGAGCGUCAUAGAGGGUGAGAAUCCCGUCUUUGACACGGACUACCAGUGCUC